rnacentral:rRNA from 1 species
UUUAUCGGAGAGUUUGAUCCUGGCUCAGGACGAACGCUGGCGGCGUGCCUAAUACAUGCAAGUCGAGCGGACAGAUGGGAGCUUGCUCCCUGAUGUUAGCGGCGGACGGGUGAGUAACACGUGGGUAACCUGCCUGUAAGACUGGGAUAACUCCGGGAAACCGGGGCUAAUACCGGAUGGUUGUUUGAACCGCAUGGUUCAAACAUAAAAGGUGGCUUCGGCUACCACUUACAGAUGGACCCGCGGCGCAUUAGCUAGUUGGUGAGGUAAUGGCUC